UUGACAUCCCGAUGCUAUUUCUAGAGAUAGAAAGUUACUUCGGUACAUCGGUGACAGGUGGUGGCAUGGUUGUCGUCAGCUCGUGUCGUGAGAUGUUGGGUUAAGUCCCGCAACGAGCGCAACCCCUAUUGUUAGUUGCCAUCAUUCAGUUGGGCACUCUAGCGAGACUGCCGGUAAUAAACCGGAGGAAGGUGGGGAUGACGUCAAAUCAUCAUGCCCCCUUAUGACCUGGGCUACACACGUGCUACAAUGGUUGGUACAACGAGUUGCGAGUCGGUGACGGCGAGCUAAUCUCUUAAAGCCAAUCUCAGUUCGGAUUGUAGGCUGCAACUCGCCUACAUGAAGUCGGAAUCGCUAGUAAUCGCGGAUCAGCACGCCGCGGUGAAUACGUUCCCGGGCCUU
rnacentral:rRNA from 1 species